UGCAUGUCUCAGUACAUGCCGUAUUAAGGUGAAACCGCGAAUGGCUCAUUAAAUCAGUUAUGGUUCCUUAGAUCGUACCAACAUUUACUUGGAUAACUGUGGUAAUUCUAGAGCUAAUACAUGCAAACCAGAGUUCCGACCAGAGAUGGAAGGAAUGCUUUUAUUAGAUCAAAACCAAUCGGUGGCGGGCGCAAGUUCGUCCACCGUUUUUUUUGGUGACUCUGAAUAACUUUGUGCUGAUCGCAUGGUCUCGUACCGGCGACGAAUCUUUCAAAUGUCUGCCUUAUCAACUGUCGAUGGUAGGUUCUGUGCCUACCAUGGUAGUAACGGGUAACGGGGAAUCAGGGUUCGAUUCCGGAGAGGGAGCCUGAGAAACGGCUACCACAUCCAAGGAAGGCAGCAGGCGCGCAAAUUACCCACUCCCGGCACGGGGAGGUAGUGACGAAAAAUAACGAUACGGGACUCAUCCGAGGCCCCGUAAUCGGAAUGAGUACACUUUAAAUCCUUUAACGAGGAUCCAUUGGAGGGCAAGUCUGGUGCCAGCAGCCGCGGUAAUUCCAGCUCCAAUAGCGUAUAUUAAAGUUGUUGCGGUUAAAAAGCUCGUAGUUGAAUCUGGGUGUCACGCUGUCGGUUCAUCGCUCGCGGUGUUUAACUGAUACGUCGUGGCGCGUCAUGCCGGUGGACUUAGCAUCCCCCUUCGCGGGGUGUGUUGCGACGUCCUAUUUUAAUCCCAUCGCGGUGCUCUUUACCGAGUGUCGAGGUGGGCCGGCACGUUUACUUUGAACAAAUUAGAGUGCUUAAAGCAGGCUAUUUUCGCCUGAAUACUGUGUGCAUGGAAUAAUGGAAUAGGACCUCGGUUCUAUUUUGUUGGUUUUCGGAACACCGAGGUAAUGAUUAAUAGGGACAGAUGGGGGCAUUCGUAUUGCGACGUUAGAGGUGAAAUUCUUGGAUCGUCGCAAGACGGACAGAAGCGAAAGCAUUUGCCAAAAAUGUUUUCAUUAAUCAAGAACGAAAGUUAGAGGUUCGAAGGCGAUCAGAUACCGCCCUAGUUCUAACCAUAAACGAUGCCAGCUAGCGAUCCGCCGAAGUUCCUCCGAUGACUCGGCGGGCAGCUUCCGGGAAACCAAAGCUUUUGGGUUCCGGGGGAAGUAUGGUUGCAAAGCUGAAACUUAAAGGAAUUGACGGAAGGGCACCACCAGGAGUGGAGCCUGCGGCUUAAUUUGACUCAACACGGGAAACCUCACCAGGCCCGGACACCGGAAGGAUUGACAGAUUGAUAGCUCUUUCUUGAUUCGGUGGGUGGUGGUGCAUGGCCG
rnacentral:rRNA from 1 species